UAGUGUCUGCCACUGCCCCCCCUGUAAAGAAAAGCAGUUGGAUUCAGCAAUUAAGCAUCAGGUCACACCAGACCACAGCUGGAUACAGUGGGAAGUCAGAGUGAUGUUUAUAACAGAGAGUUAUGAGGAAUGGUGACGAAAAUUACAGGAAGCCGAACAGCGUUCUGAUCUCCAUUCAGAAGCUGAAGAGCUUGGGAAAAAGAAAAGGCGAAAAAUGCCAAGUAGCAUACUUCUAGAUGCCACUAAUGGUGCUUCAAGUGAGAGUGAAGAAGAAGCAGGACUGCAGCAGAAUGACAGAUGUCUACCUGAGGCCCCACCAAUCAGCCAAGUUAAAAUUUUAACACCCUUGCAGACUGCUAAUACUGGAAGUCGAAGUACUUUUCCCUGGAAUCCACCCCUCCCUCUGGAAAUGAUGUGGAAACCUACUGAUGCCCUACGUGGAGAGAAUGACCUAAACAAAAGUCAGUGACAGGAGUUUAGUGACCGACCAUGCAGACUUGUUUUCCCCACCACCACCUCAUCCAGAUCCUUCAAAAGUUCAGAAGUCCUGGAUACCAUCUGAAGUCAAUCAGUUUCACCAAGACCACGCAAAAAUUUGGACACCACCAUAUCACAGCUACAAAGGACUCCUGCUGAAG